rnacentral:lncRNA from 1 species
GCUGGGGCAAAGGCGGCAGCGGAGACUCCGAGCUUGUCCUGGAGGUAGUCGACCAGAGUGCGAGCUUCCUCGAGAGUUAAAGAGGAGAUUUCGGUGCCGAGUUUUUCGAUUUUCUCGGGAGCGGAAACGGCAGCGAUGGGCCGGAGGUGGGUGGACCUGUGAGUGAGAGUGGAGGAGGCGAAAUUGGAGCGGAAAGGGAAUUCGACGAAGAAUUGUUUAGUGGUGGUGAGUGUGGGGUAAGAGGAUGGGGAAGAGAGAGUGAGGGUUCUUGUUGAGGAAAGAGAUGCCGCCAUUUUUCUGGUCUGUUGGAUAAUGGGAGAGUGAGAGACGAAGAGAGUGAG